rnacentral:rRNA from 1 species
GAUGAACGCUGGCGGCGUGCCUAACACAUGCAAGUCGAGCGAAGCGCUGUUUUCAGAAUCUUCGGAGGAAGAGGACAGCGACUGAGCGGCGGACGGGUGAGUAACGCGUGGGCAACCUGCCUCAUACAGGGGGAUAACAGUUAGAAAUGACUGCCAAUACCGCAUAAGCGCACAGGACCGCAUGGUGUAGUGUGAAAAACUCCGGUGGUAUGAGAUGGACCCGCGUCUGAUUAGGUAGUUGGUGGGGUAAAGGCCUACCAAGCCGACGAUCAGUAGCCGACCUGAGAGGGUGACCGGCCACAUUGGGACUGAGACACGGCCCAAACUCCUACGGGAGGCAGCAGUGGGGAAUAUUGCACAAUGGGGGAAACCCUGAUGCAGCGACGCCGCGUGAAGGAAGAAGUAUUUCGGUAUGUAAACUUCUAUCAGCAGGGAAGAAAAUGACGGUACCUGAGUAAGAAGCACCGGCUAAAUACGUGCCAGCAGCCGCGGUAAUACGUAUGGUGCAAGCGUUAUCCGGAUUUACUGGGUGUAAAGGGAGCGUAGACGGAUAGGCAAGUCUGGAGUGAAAACCCAGGGCUCAACCCUGGGACUGCUUUGGAAACUGCAGAUCUGGAGUGCCGGAGAGGUAAGCGGAAUUCCUAGUGUAGCGGUGAAAUGCGUAGAUAUUAGGAGGAACACCAGUGGCGAAGGCGGCUUACUGGACGGUGACUGACGUUGA